rnacentral:rRNA from 1 species
AGAUUAAGUUAUUAAGGGCGCACGGUGGAUGCCUUGGCACUAGAAGCCGAUGAAGGACGUUACUAACGACGAUAUGCUUUGGGGAGCUGUAAGUAAGCUUUGAUCCAGAGAUUUCCGAAUGGGGAAACCCAGCAUGAGUUAUGUCAUGUUAUCGAUAUGUGAAUACAUAGCAUAUCAGAAGGCACACCCGGAGAACUGAAACAUCUUAGUACCCGGAGGAAGAGAAAGAAAAUUCGAUUCCCUUAGUAGCGGCGAGCGAAACGGGAAGAGCCCAA